GGAGAGGUUGCUCAGUGGUUAGAGCACUGGCUGUUCCUGCAGAGGACCUGGGUUUGAUUCCCAGCAUGCCCA
rnacentral:tRNA from 1 species